AAAAAGCCUGUCUUGCCCUCAGAACCAACAGAGCUGCUUAAGUUUUGGUGAGUACCAAAGAUAACUAAAUAUCUUCUAGUCUGAUGAAGAAACUCCUCGUAGGGUUUAAACCCAGGAGAUGCUUCCUCUUCUUUACACAUUACCAAGGAAAAUGCCUGUUCUUCCCAACUGAAUUAACUUGAUUCUCCCCUCAUCCCUCCGACUGCUGCCCUAUCUACCUCAAAUACACUCCAGCCAAACCCUCUCUUCACAUUCAUUAGGGCUCCCAUCCAAGUCCUCUGCCCUGUUUCACUGUUAUGUUGUUGAAAGUAAUUAAUGACUUCACCGCACAAGUAAAUACUGAUGAGGUUUGCUUCUGUCAGUUUUUCAUUGUCUCCCUUGCAUUCUAAGUUCUUGUAUUCCUUUAAUUAUUUUUUAUCUUUGCUUUGUUUGUGACUUAUCAUCCAUUUUGGUGUGGAUAGUAGCUGGUUGUUCACUUGAAUUUGCUGUUGGCAAACUUAGAAUAUGCUCCCUUACACGUACUCAAACAGAUGUGUUCUUAGACUAGGUAGAAAGAAUCUGGGAUAGGAAGUGCAUUAUAGCUGAGGAUGAGACUUUGGAAAGGCACUACUCUUCGUGGAACACUGAUGAGAAGAUUCUUCCUGGUCUACCCUUCCCUGCCAAACAAGCUUUCUUAUGAAUAAACAUGAGAACCUAUUCCAUCUGUAAUGGUAACAUCAAUACAACUCAUUGGUGGAUGAAAAAAGCAUGUAUAAAACACACUGUGUUGUUUUUUUAGGUCAGAAGCUAUCCAGCAGGUCUAUCCAACAAGCAGCAACUAAGGUAUGAUCUGUGGGAAGAAAAGGAAGGCAAAAAUGGCAUCACAUGACAGGAGUGUGGGUGGGUUGGUUUUCUACAGCUAGAUGUUGCAUCUUACCAUCAUUCCAUUUGUAACCCAUCUAACAAAUUGCAUGUGUAUUUUUUUAAAGUGAUUUGAUGUGUUUCCUGGGGAGUCUUCGAAGGAAUUAUAACAACAGCAAUACUUUAUCAUAGGAGGUAUCAGUAGGUGUUUGGCAUCUAGGAUCACAUCCUGUUCCAGUACAGAAAGAGGUUAAAAAGCCUCUAAAGCUUUCUGAGGUCAAAUACUGAGUGUUCCUGUCCUAAGGGGUCUUCCCUGUCUAGAAAAUUAAGAGCAUUGGGUGCUGCAGCAGUAGAACCUAAUCAGUGGUCCAUUAGUCUAUCUAUACUAGAUAGAAAAAACCUUGCAAAAGGCAUGUAUAUGAGAACUUGAGCACAACUUUUUUUCCGUACUGAGGUUUUAACUGAUAUAUGCAUGUGGAUUUGUAUACACUAAAAAAACUAAAAACCUAUAGAAGCUUGUAUGUAGUUGACUAAUACAGUUUUAGUUACGCUUGACUAUAGUUAAAUGAUGCAUGUAUUUUGGGGAGCAUAUAAUCAGGCCUUUUAUGUAGAUAAUUGAAAUUCAUGUUUUUACUACUAUCAUUCUUAGCAAUCUGCAGUGCAGUUCACUUGAUCACGUGCUGGGCUCUUGUAAAUGACUGUCCAUUCCAACAAGAACGUUGCUUAAAACAAAUCAGAUUUCUUGUUCCUCCUUCUCAUUUUUUCUAGUACAGAUUGUUAAGGAUGAAAAUCUUUUUGUAGUGUGGGGAUUUGUAAGUAUUUACACUUUUGUGUCCUCGGUGUGAAGGAACUAGAAAGCAAACAUUUGCAUACUAUUGGAUCUGCCAUUUGGUUGUUUUUAUAAUAUACUCAGUUUUCUGCAGCAUCGCAGUGUUGAUAAAGCAUGAGUAACACUAAAAUAUUAUCAGUAUUUCAUGUCUGUUCUUUGUUUAAACGUUGCAUUCAGUGGCUCCAGCAAAGAUCUGGGACUUUGCUUCUACUCUUUAUAGAAUAGUCUGCCUCUAUGUAUUAUCUAAAAUGUAAUUAGGACCACCAAGUGGUGGUAGGAGAGACAGAAACAGAGCUGCAUGUGUCAAGGGAGAUCAGUGGGAGAGAGAGAAGUGCAGCCCCAUAUGCAGGUCAGUGUUUUUGUAUGCAGAAAAAAAGCACAGCAGUUGUAGAGCCAAACCCACACUAGAGUGGGGGGGGGGGGAAUGAAUGACACCAGAAUCCUUACCCUUACCACCUUCCCUGUCACAAGAGGGUACCUCCUUUUCAUUUGCAUUAUCUGACCUGAUCACCUAACAGCAUGUCGAUGACAACAUCUGUGAACUAUAGUUUGUUUGUGAACGACUGGGUCACAUCAAGUCUAGAGAUGGUUAAAUUGUAAAACAAAUUUUCUUUGCACUUGGCAUUUGUAUUGAUUUAGUGAAACCAAUGACAUCACAAAUGGUUAGGUCUCAAGAAAAAGAGAAAGACAAGAAAGCCUUCAACUGAAUUUGGUCAUCCAAAUUUAUGGCCUAACUGAGCUAGGGCCUAACUCUGAGGCUAUGCAUGUAUCCUGCAGUACUUCUUGAGCAGAAGAAAUCAUUUUUUUUUCCAACUCCCAAGAACAUCAGCUGCAUUUGUGUUCUUAGUGACUGUAGGGCUCCUCAUUUUUAUCUCCUCAAGCAUAGCUUGUGGAAUUCUGUUUUCCACCGUGAGGGGAAAUGGAGGUCAUCUUGUAUAGAAAACAUGAUGGACAGUGUCCAUGCUGAGUGAACUGACAGCACGUAGGACAGCCACUCUCAAGCAUGCUGUAUUUAAGCUGUGUUAAGAAUGGGAGCUGAGAGAAAGGAUAAGCAAUGAAAGAGUGUAAUGUUAAAAGCAAGCAUCCAUGCUCCUCACGGUGUACCCUUUCUUAUAAACAACAUGAGGAAAAAUACUGGUCAAAUCUGGAACUCCUUCAUCAUCAGCCCUCCACAAGAAAAAGAAAAAAUACCCACCCCUAAAGUUUAACAGCUAUUUAGUCAGAAUUUUUGCCUAGAAAUUACUUUCUGUCCUAGAUCGGAGUAUCCAUUAUUUAUUUCUUGAAGAAUUAUGGUAAAAAUACAGAUCUACUUUACUGAGGUGCUGUUCUUUCAGAGAUAAAUGCAACCAUUUCUCAGAUAUUUCUUUUAAAACUAAAAUUAAGUGGGAGAGUAAAAAAAAUAGAAAUUAAUUAUGUAUUUCUUGCAAAUGACACUCCAGUUUUCUGAAGAGUGCAGGUGCUUCCUCCUUGUCUCCUACUUUUAUCUCUCAGUUCACUAGAUGUCGGAUGUUUUCUUAGGAUUGCUUACCUGUGAGAGCACUCCAGUUAAAACCAGCAAGAAGCCAGAUUGGUAACAGAAGAGGAAGUAAAGUUUGUACAAAGCUGCUUGCAGGAGAUAGAAAGCUAUCAAAGGUGCAGCUCAGCAUUGCAGUUUCUUCGGACUGAAGUGGUUCACUUUGAAUGGUUUAAAUGUAGUGGAGGCAUUCUGAGAAAAUUAUGCUGCUGCAGUAUGUUCUCCGUCAUCUACUCUGGUAGUAUUGCUCUUGCUGAUGAUGAGGAUGGUAGCAGCAUCUUCAGAGCGUUAUAGCUAUGCUUCCGAAGGGGAUAAAGCUUGGCGUGAGUGGCUGCUGUGGUCUAAGUACUGUUAGGCCGUGCACUGGAAAAGAAAUAAGCAGAGUCUGGGGAUGAGAUUUAUAUCCCAGUGCUUUUCAGACAGUAAUUUCCUGUUAAAAUGAGAAGGGAACUUCCUUGGAAUGUAAGUUUUGUAUGUGGGUUCUUAUAUCACCUGCCGAAAACACCUGGUGCUUUCCACUAAGGGUGUCUAGGCUGGAUACUAGGUGAGAUGGUUCACUUGCUGAUUUCUGGUAGGGGCACUCUUUGUAACAGAAGAUCAAUGGACAACUUCCUACCAUUAACUAAAUUAAUCUUUCUUCUCUUCCCCUUUCUCCUCAUCUCACCACGAAAGGAAGAAUCUCUGUUAAACGGAAUGUGGCAAAUUAUUAAGGCUGUCUAUAUGAAAGAUGUAAAGCUAUCUGUGGUGGACAAAGAGGACUUCUUAGCUAAUAAAUUAGAGUAAGAGCUUCAAAAAGGAUUGCACUGUCAUUGUAACGUCAAUUAAUUUCUUCCAAUAUCAUUAACUUUUGAUUAUUGUUUUACUCUUUAUUUAAUGUAUACUUUAUUUCUUAAAUUUUUCUGUCUAUGUGAAGGCCACAGAUGGAAAUAUAUAUACUAAUUAUUUUGUCUCUUGAGGUAUCAAGAGGGAAGGUAUUUCUCCAUAUUGUAACUGUCAGGGUCAGCUGGGGAUAAUUAGCCACCAGCUGCUCUGGAAGUAUACAUGGUUAUACAUGGUUAUACAUGUUCCCCAUCUACCAAAAGUCUUUUGCACUGAAAUAUAUUUUAAAAAAUAAUAAUAAUCUGAACUUAAAUCACACAGAGUGACUUGGCUUACAAUGCUGUAGACUGGUGCCAUAGUUUAAUGACCCAAACAUUUGAAAAGCAACUACAAAGACUGCCCUGGAACGCAGCUGAUCACCUUCAGCUGCCAUGGCCUAGGUUUAUCAGCUGCAAACAGUAAAAAAAGAGCAACAUUCUCAUAGAGAAAUUGAUAUAUAUUUCUUUUUUCAGGAAGCUCAGUCCAUGAAAAAAGUCUCUUCUCUUUCAGAUGUAUGAACUUCUUUGCAAAGUGAUCUGAGGUAUCACUAGUGAGAUUAGCUAACAGCUGCAAAAUGGAACUGUUUUGCUAUGGAUAGGUGAUAACAGAAAAUAUUGCAGUCAGUCAGCAUUAUACUCAUUAGUAAGGUAAGGUCUUUCAAAUGUUGACCCAAGACUAACACUUCAGGUGAUAUGAUGGCAUUUAUUCUGAGAUUACAAACAAAAGUGGUGAUUAAGACAUUGCAGAAAGAAA
ensembl:lncRNA